ACUAUACUAUUUGGCAACAAACAUCUUUUUUCUGGUAAUUUUGGGGUCUUUUCUGAAUUAACAUCGUGCUGACACGUACACCCCUAUUUCUGCUAGCUUUUUCUUGUGUGCAGUUUCGGUGCUGUCUGAGAAUUUCAGGGGGCUCUCACCUUCUGCGUCGUUCGUCCGUUCUGUUUUCUCCCGGUUAGCUGUUGGAUUAUUUUGGUGCGUUGUUGUGUAGCAUUAGCUCCGAGGCGGUUGUGGGCGAGCUCGCCUGGUCCCGAUACGCCGCUUUUCUUUUUGUCUUCCUACACCUCUAGAACGUCCGAUUUGCUCUUCAGAUUUUCUCUUCUCCUUCCAUCCGUUUUGACCAGAAAUGGAGAUGAUCCACGAAUCCUCUACAGUAGGUUGAUUCAGAUCUUCUUCACCGUUUUCCUCCAUAUCCAUCGCCUCUCCCUGCUUAACUUCUUCCCUAACGGAUUCCCCUCUUUAUGUGACUUUUUCUUUGAUGAUUUGAUAUCUAUGGCUUUUCUCUUAGCCUUUUUUUCUUGUGGUUGUUUGAUCUGGUGGCCUGGGGAUUUCGUGUGGUGAUCGUUUUGACAAGUUCGUGUGGUGAUUUACCCGCAGGACGAGCCAGAGAAGGUGGACACCGGCGAGCGGCGGGCGGCGGGUGGCGCUGCAGCGGCCGAGCCUGCUUCUCCUUGAGCGCCGCGCCGCGAUAGCGACGGCCAGAGUGCCGGACCGCGCGGAAAGGGGAGGCGCCGAGGGCCGAGCGGAGCAGGAGCUGGCAGUAGAGGAGAGGGCGGCCGGCGGCGUGGCAGCGGCGGGGGCCGAGCCUCCAUCGAAGUCGAACAAUGCGGCGGCCGUCUCGAGCUCUGCCGCUCUGGGCGUCUCCGCCUCUGGCUGGCCUCGCCCUCGCGGCUGGUGCUGUGGGGAGCCUCAGAGGCACGUCACACGGCUUGCCUUCUCGACUUCCUCUUGGCGUGUUUCUCUCCGCCGCCCAUGCUCGACGGCAUCAGGAAGCGUGCCGUCCACUUCCUCAGUCGCGCUUAGCUUUGGUAAGUGUGCAUCGGCAUGCCAAUGGCGAAACGCAAACGGUUUGCUGUGAGAUUCAGAAGGGCGCUCGAUGGCCAGAUUGCAAGGAAGACCCUCCAUGGCAGUGUCACGCUCAACAGAAAGGCACGGCCGUCUCACGGGUGUCGCUUUGAUCCUGUUCGUUCCUGCUUCUUUGCCGUCCAGUGUGAACUCUAAUAUCAUCCAUAUCAUCAUGCUGCCAUUUGACAUGAUUUAGUUCGGUGCUUACUUUCAUGACUCUGACGUCGUGGCAAUGUUCAUUGUUGCUUAGCAGAUUUAUUAUCGGUCUAUGCUUAAUCACAUAUUUUGCUAAAUUAUUAAAAAAGUGGAGGGUCAUCUCUUUUGUACUAAAUUCUUAUGUAUUGCUAAUAAGCUAUCUUAAAAAUUAAUGAACAAUGCCUCCUUCACUGUGACAAGCUCUGAAACCCAGCAAAACUGACGCUCCACUUUUUUAAUAAUUCAUAUAUAGUAAAAGUAUUCACAAAAAAAGUAGUAAAAGUAAAUGUCUGCUUAUUUCAUUACUUCAAGAUGUUUCACCAACUGUCGUUGUUCUAGGAGUGUGAGUCCAUCCAUAUUUUUUUUCUUCUUAAAGCUUGUGUACUUUUCAAGUUGAAUUUAAACUGGUUGCGGCACAUAUUAUUUUGCUACUAAAGCAGAACUUCCUAUUUAGUUAUUUCAGGCAACUCCUUAUUAUAAUAAUUGACAUCUAACAUUGAUGUUUGUUAACCUGCUAACAUGAGAUUUUUAUGAAUUUGACCUGCUUACAUGAAGCUUAAGUGAGGUAAAAUUAGGCAGCAGCUGUCAGCAACUUGACCUGCAGCCAACAGUGUUCUGUUCUUCUCGGUCAAUGUACUAAUAAGUGUUGUGUCCGAUUGAAAGCACAAACUUCACAUCUGCUGGGAGGUAUAAGUUGUAGCUUCUCUUACUACAACACUUCACAUCUGGUGGGUUGUAUGAGUUGCAGUUGCUCUUAGCACAACAAUGCAACAUGCUCUAUUUAGCAUUUUUUUCUCUAGAAGGAUCAGUGGUGCAUCUGUGAAACUACUAUUUGCAAAUGUCAGUGAUUUUUUGCAGCGAAAGGACAUGAGUGUGUUAUUCUUAGCGAUAAUUGGUAUUUGGCAGGGAUUCCCUGCUUAAAGCUCAGUCUGUUAAAAUAAGGGAUUCAAAUUUGUACCAGGUUAUGAUUCCUCUUAAUACCUAUCUGUUAGAGAUUGUGCGAUGGAAUCAGUGUUGGGAAUGGUGCUGAAUUUUUCCAUUGAUGUCAGUGGAGGCAAAUUACAAAAAACAAAAAUAUCUUUUUCUCCUGCGACAGUGGGUCUAUGAAAUUCCCUUUGUUUAUCACCUAAAAAUUAUUGUGUGAUUCUUAAAUUAAGUGGAGCUUACUUCUUAUUAUUUACUUAUUACUUCAUCACGUGUUACUUUAUUUUGUGUGUGUUCCCCGUGAAAAUUUUGGUCGGCAUGGCACAUGAUGAAUGCUUUUGUCAUAUUUAUCUUCUUAUUUGCUAGCUUGAACUUUUUUUUCUUCCAUGCAUUAUUCCUUUACAUUUGUCUUCAUGUACAGGAUGAAAAAGUGCGACCGUUAUUUCUCCAUGCACUCUCCAUUGCUACCAUUCCAAAUGAUUUGAUAGCAGUAAUUGGUGGUGCCUGUCAAUGAGUUGAGAUCAAUGUUCUUCCUUUUUUCUGGAGCACUUCUUUUUGUAGGAUAUAUCUCCAUGGAUUUUUAUGCGAGUUCCUUUGGAAUUUGUAGUGAAGGCAUACUUAAUCAAUCUGAUUAGAAGUUUUGUCGCGACUAGCGCAGAUUUAUUUUGGUGAACCUACCGAAUUAUAUGAUCUAACUUUUUUAGUAACUACUCAAGUGAUCAUUUUACUAAUUAUGUGUAGUCAUUUACUUGCGAUACUAUUUUUCCAUCAGGAUCUUAUGAAGAAGGGUCCAUUUAAUGGCGCAGAGGUUGAAGCAUCAGGGCGCAAUGGACACAAGCAGGAAAUUCAGAUAAAGCCAAAGAUAGGGGCAAUCAUUGUACCAUUGUAGAGAUGUUUCAUUGCUUCGGUUUUGCUUAAAGGUAUCCUCUAAUUGCUGACCAGUUUAUUAGUUAGUACAUUAAAAAACUAAUUAAUAUAUGUAUAAUAGUCUUCUUGGUUAUAGAGUAUCUUGGUUCUGCCCCUUUGUCCAGUUAGCAUAUACAUUGUUUAGAGCAUGUCUUCUUAGAUCUUACGUACUUGAACUACCAGAUAAGAUAUGCAUUUUUUUUGUUUGUUUCUCAAUGUAUAAAGUUCAUUCAGAAGCAACGUACCUCUCUAUUUAAGCUCCAAGACCUGUACAAAAUUCUGUGAUAAAUGGUCAGUGUUAGGCUAAAGGAAAUUAAAUAUAUGUUCUUCCGAAUGAAUUACUCUCUAUGUAUUUUAUAACUUCUUUGUAUACUAUCCGUUAUUCUCUCACUAUAUACCAUUGUGUUGUAUAUAACUGUCUACACUUAGCGAAUUGGUUUGAAAGUUAUAUAAUUCUAUCAGGAAUUGUUGAUGCUAGCUUCCAAGAAAAAUGCAUGUAUUCUGUUCACAUUAUGUUGAUGAUCUCAACGAGAGAGACGUGUUUCAUGCCACUGUAAUUGGAUAAUUUUUAAUUAUGGAUACACUCUGUAAUAUAGAGCCGUUAGUUAGGAAUUUUAUGUUUUGGUUUGAAAAGCAAUACAUGAAAGAGGCUUAUUAACACUUCUCUCAAGCAUAUAUGAGUAUGGAGGCACCGUGCUGGAAAUAAGUGUCCUUAAUGAUAUUCAAACCUGCCUUUUAGCUCACAUUAGAAUUUGAAAGGGCAACCAGAUUAUAUAGUAUUCAAAUAUGUCAUAUGUCACAUGAUUAUAUAGGAAUGAUGCUAGAGGCCUGUGUCAACUGAGUAUGGUAUCAGUGUCAGUGGGCUUUUUUUUUUGUGAUACACCACUAUUAACUUACAUAUGCUAGCUCUUAUUUCCCUGCUUUUUCCAAUAGGUUUUGUCAGCUUGACUAUCAGUUAUGAUAUUAAAUAAGCGAGUCGGAAUUCACUCAUAUGUAGUUGUCUAUCUGUUGCUAACUUUGUUGGUUUCACCAUAAAGUUAAGCUUUUUACUCAACUAGAUGAACAACUGAAGUUGGAGUGGCGUACGACGAGCUAAAAAGAACAACGGGGUCAAAGAGUUUUUUGAAUUCCCAUGAAAUGGGUAGUUACUGCUAAUUUUGAGAUUAUAAGUCGGAUGUUAAUUACUGUGACACCAGUUGCAACUGCUUUAUUUCUCCUAUUUUUUUUCAUGUUAGCUCAUUAUCAUGUUUAAAGUUUACCAAAGUAUUUCUUUUAUUCCUAUGGUGUACCAUUAAGAUCUCAAUUAUUUUCCUCUGAAGUGAUCUGGAAGAGUUGGGAGCUCAGGCCCUCUCGACCAUGGACACAAAGGUGAAAGACCUGUCGCUAACACCUUGAGGCCUUGUUCGGCACACAAGUUUUUCAGGGAUUAGAGUGUUUUAGUUGCCUCGGGACAGCACCAAAUCACUGCAAACGGCCGCAGAACCGUUCGGCAGGCCGGGUUUCUACCGGUUUUGAAGGGUCUGGCCUCCGUUAUUCUUACAAAACCUGCUAAUACACGUUUGAGUCAAAACGCUCGGCAGUGCUCAUACACGUUUGAAUCAAAACGCUCGGCAGUGCUCGCGUUUUUUUCUGGCCAGCUUGCUGUACGUUUUGUACCCUCCGAUUCCCAGCACAGGCGAAGAAACGCGCAGUCUAACAGGCCUGGGGCCCGAGCGCGCAUGUUGACAGUGCCUACGCAUGCAAAUUAAGCUAGCUGAAUCGGUGGCCUAGCUUAGCAAUUGCCCGAUCCCUGAGUGAACCCCGUGUUUUCACCUAAACCACUAGACAUAUCACACUCUAAUCCCUGCCUACCGAACAAGGCCUGACUGUGUGCUCAUCAGUUGGACCUCGCCACCUGACAGACUGGGCCAAGGAGGCAUUGGCAUGUUCACUUGGAAGGAAGAUGGCUCUGCGGUGUUACAACAUAGUUGUGGCACAAAUAAGCGAGCCCCUUGGUGUGUUGCGGCAGGUAAUGAAGCCACACAAUUCUGCUAGGUACGGAGAGAGAGUAACAGGGCAGCAGACUCCUUAGCUAGCCAAGCUAAAAAUCAUCAGGACAUUGAGGUCUGUCCUGGAAAUUGUCAUAAACAAUUGUGAAAUUGUGUCUUUUGAUAUAUAAAGUUCUUUUUCGCCUAAAAUAGAUUUUUUAGUCCAUCAAGGUAGAAAUUUGAUUUGAUGUCACUUAAAUUCUGUUAUCUUCAUAUUACAAGAUCACACACAUAUACAUGUCUAAAAUAGUUUAUUAUUUAUAAUUUGACAACCAUAGGUUCAUGCCACAUCCAUGUAAGAUUGGAGGCAAUAAGAAAUAAUAAGAAGUACCAAGUGAUAUCCUCCUAUCAGUUAACCACAAAUUAUAUUUGUUUUUAGUCUUGGUUCAGAUGAUAUGGUAACAAAAUGACACAAUUUAAGCUCAUUUGAGUUAACCGAAUAUACAAGUUCACAAUCAAUAUCUCGGUACAACAAUAGUACCAUAUUCGGUCAGUCAAUGUAGAGGAAUACUCCCUCCAACCCAGGGCUUAGGGCGUAAAAAUCUCAGCGCAAUAAUCAAGGAACUGUCUAAAGAUUAAUGUAGAGUAUAUACUUAGCUAGCCGAUUCUGUCCAAGUCAACUGAAGAUCUGACUAAAGUUUACUAAAGUUGGAUAUAUGUUGAAUAAACAAUUACCAGUUGUCCCAUUUCUGUGGCAUGGUGACAGACAGCAUUAAUUCAAUAUUGAAGAAAUAGCUAUGUUCGUUGUGCUGACAUUUCAUAAUCGAUUUGUGCUACAUGGAUGGACAAACAAGUGAACAGCCGUUUUAACCAUAAAGUACCUAUUUUGUUUUGGUUCCAGAUUACUCAGACGUACAUCAUUGUUAGAACCUGGAAGCUGAACAGAGAAAACCUCCAUUUCGGGCAUCCAACGUCCACACCAUGAGAGGGCAGUCUAACAAUUAAUGCACACAAUGUAGAGCUCACCUGUACAAGCACCAAUAGAGUGAGCAUGUCGAUGACCAUAAACGACCCUGCAAACAAACAACCCUCCGCACUCCCAUUUAGCAAGCCUCUUCUCCAAACCAACAGCCUCUAGGUACCAGGCCAAGGUCUACUUUUGAUUGCUAGCAGAACAACAACCAUAGUUGUUACGUGUGUUCUACUGUUCUACCACUCUGAUAAACUACUAGAUGCAGCAAACUCUAUUGGUGCGCCAAACCACUACCUGCUUGCACAUCACACACGUGCUGCUGACCGUGUUAUAUGUAAGAUAAAGAUGCAUUGUCUGUUUUUAUUGCCAGCAUUAGUCAUAUAUUUUGUGUUGAUUUGAAUUUAGUUCAGUUGAAUGCUAUGUUUAGUUCUUGUAGUAAAAUCAUUCUUUUAACUCAUGCAUCUCACCAAUCUAUAAUCCGAGAUGUCCGUUAGAGUUUUCAUAUAUAGCGGAGCCACAAGACAGGUGCGGCGUGCCGCCGCGCCCGACCCUUGC